UUUAUUUAUAAUAAUAUGGUAUCAUCUCUAUAGCCUAAUUAUUAUUAGAGAAAUAAUUUUUUGGAAAUUGUACAGUGAACCUUCGUCAUUCUUUUUUAAAUUUCAUGUUAAGCAUCCUUUCAUGAAAUAAAAGAAUAUUAUUUUAAAAAAAAAAAACUAUCAUCUCUUCUUCACGAAAAAUCCAGAUAUCUUGUGGUUGAUAAGUGUCUAAACCAUGCAAUAAUUUUCCCCUCUUUUAAGCUCUGUUUUCUUUCAGAAUCGUUUCUUAUUUGAACAUUGGGAUUUGAUAAAUUAAGAGGGUAGAACUUAGCUAGUCUUGAAAACUAGGUUUUUCGUUAAGUUUAUUUUGUGCAUAAAGAGAAAAUAAAAACUUUGUAUUUUAGUUACAUUAAACUCUUCGUCAAAUUGUCAAAAAAUAUUACACUUUCCGUUUUCUAUUUUUUGUGCAUGGAUUUUCUCACAUGAUCUCACUAAAAUUGACUUUGUAUGAAAAGAGUGUCUGUUUUCUUACAUAUCUUUUAUUUUAAUUUUAUUUCCCCCACAUGAACCUAAUUGUUUGUUGAAUUUUUUUUGCCACAGUUGCAGUAAGUACUCGUUUGACAUGAGCUAUGCUGAGAAGACAAGCACAGAGAGUGUAGUUUUGGGCUUUGGAACUGUGAAGGCUGAAUUUGAAGGUGCUGAAAUGGCUGAGGAAAAUGGCUGCAAGUGUGGAGCAAACUGCAGUUGCGACCCAUGCACCUGCAAAUGAGGUGAAGAUAUAAAGCUUGAAGGAGAUAUAGCUGCAUAUGUACCAAAAGUACACACUUAUAAUAAUUACAAUAAUAAGUAUGUGUUGUGUUCAAUCAACUGGAUUUGAAGUUUCAUAAUAAAAUGGGCAUGG
rnacentral:lncRNA from 1 species